rnacentral:rRNA from 1 species
UACGGGGGGGGCAAGCGUUGUUCGGAAUUACUGGGCGUAAAGGGCUCGUAGGCGGCCAACUAAGUCAGACGUGAAAUCCCUCGGCUUAACCGGGGAACUGCGUCUGAUACUGGAUGGCUUGAGAUUGGGAGAGGGAUGCGGAAUUCCAGGUGUAGCGGUGAAAUGCGUAGAUAUCUGGAGGAACACCGGUGGCGAAGGCGGCAUCCUGGACCGGCAUUGACGCUGAGGCGUGAAAGCCAGGGGAGCAAACGGG